CAGCCCGCCUGCCCGCCCGCGGCCACCACCGACUUUCCCAGCAGCAGGGGGCAAGGGGUGGGGGCGUCGGCUCCCGUAGAGGCUGGAGGCCUGGAAAGAAGCCAUCCUCCGCCAAUACCGCCUCCUACAGGUGCAGAAAAGGAAGGUGCUCACAGACGGCAGAAGGAAGCCAAGGAAGCGGGGGCACUUACUGGGGAGCCGACUUGCCGGCGGGAGAGAAGAUAAGAGGUGGAUCUGUAAGGAUUCUCUGCAUCAGUCAUGUCCCCACAGGAAUUGUAGCUCCCACCCAGCUGGAUGACUCAUUAUGCCAUAAACGCACAUACUGUUUCCUGCCUUUGGGCCCUGGUUUCUGCAUGGAAUGUCUCUCUGCCCUUCAAGGCCGUCAUUAGCAUCCCAGAAGCCGUUGCUGAUCUGUCCUCAACCAGCCCUAAGAGGAAGGUGCUCGCUGCCUCCUGCCUCGCAAGCCUUCCAGCACAGGGUCUGAGGCUGUGCUACCCCCUCGAGGCACAGAUGUCUCUUUGCUCCUGUUCCCUACCAGACACCCUGCACAGCACCCGAUAACAACGGAUGUCAUUACUGCCUUCCCAUUUGUCCCACCCUCCCCUUCUUCCCCCAUGUCUCAAGUCCAUGACUCUAUUCUUGCCCUGCAAACAGGUUCAUCUGUCCCAUUUCUCUAGAUUCCAUAUAUAUGUAUGAAUAUACAAUAUUUGUUUUUCUCUCAAACAGAUGGCUAGUAGGAACCUGCAAUAAAGCACAGGGAACUCA